rnacentral:rRNA from 1 species
GUGAGGAAUAUUGCGCAAUGGAGGCAACUCUGACGCAGCCAUGCCGCGUGCAGGAAGAAGGCGCUACGCGUUGUAAACUGCUUUUAAUCGGGAAGAAACCCCAGGACGUGUCCUGGGUUGACGGUACCGGAGGAAUAAGCACCGGCUAACUUCGUGCCAGCAGCCGCGGUAAUACGAAGGGUGCAAGCGUUAUCCGGAUUCAUUGGGUUUAAAGGGUGCGUAGGCGGAGCGUUAAGUCAGUGGUGAAAUCCUGCAGCUUAACUGUAGACUUGCCAUUGAUACUGGCGCUCUUGAGUGCGCUUGAAGUGGGCGGAAUGUGCCGUGUAGCGGUGAAAUGCUUAGAUAUGGCACAGAACACCAAUUGCGAAGGCAGCUCACUAAGGCGAUACUGACGCUGAGGCACGAAAGCGUGGGGAUCGAACAGGAUUAGAAACCCGUGUAGUCC